GAAAUGCGAAAAGUAAUGUGAAUUGCAGAUACCGUGAAUCAUCAAAUCUUUGAACGCACAUUGCACUGCCUGGAACUCCGGGCAGUAUACCUGUUUGAGCAUCAGUAGCAACUCUCUCCACAUUACAUUGAGUUGUAGUGUUGGAGGAGGUGAGUGUCCACGUAUUUAUAUGCGUGUCACUUUAAAUGCACCCAGCGCAAGAGCGACAGUGUUAACUUAAUAUCUGCCACUCUCGCACACCACAAUAAUCAAUGAUCUCAAAUCAGGUAUGACCACCCGCUGAACUUAA
rnacentral:misc_RNA from 1 species